UCAAACUUGGUCAUUUAGAGGAAGUAAAAGUCGUAACAAGGUUUCCGUAGGUGAACCUGCGGAAGGAUCAUUAUCGAGUUAGGGUUCCUCUCACGGGCCCGAUCUCCCAACCCUGUGUCUACCACACCUUUGUCGUUGCUUCGGCGGACCGGUGUUCGCCACCGCCGGGGGUGCACGCCCCUGGAGAGUGUCCGCCGAUGGCCCAACCACAACAACUCUUUGUACGAAACCAUGUCGUCUGAAAAAUACUUGAUAUAAUCAAAAACAAAACUUUCAACAACGGAUCUCUUGGUUCUGGCAUCGAUGAAGAACGCAGC
rnacentral:misc_RNA from 1 species